rnacentral:rRNA from 1 species
GGUAACACUGAAUGGAGGACCGAACCGACUUACGUUGAAAAGUGAGCGGAUGAACUGAGGGUAGCGGAGAAAUUCCAAUCGAACCUGGAGAUAGCUGGUUCUCUCCGAAAUAGCUUUAGGGCUAGCCUCAAGUGAUGAUUAUUGGAGGUAGAGCACUGUUUGGACGAGGGGCCCCUCUCGGGUUACCGAAUUCAGACAAACUCCGAAUGCCAAUUAAUUUAACUUGGGAGUCAGAACAUGGGUGAUAAGGUCCGUGUUCGAAAGGGAAACAGCCCAGACCACCAGCUAAGGUCCCAAAAUAUAUGUUAAGUGGAAAAGGAUGUGGCGUUGCCCAGACAACUAGGAUGUUGGCUUAGAAGCAGCCAUCAUUUAAAGAGUGCGUAAUAGCUCACUAGUCGAGUGACACUGCGCCGAAAAUGUACCGGGGCUAAACAUAUUACCGAAGCUGUGGAUUGUCCUUUGGACAAUGGUAGGAGAGCGUUCUAAGGGCGUUGAAGCAUGAUCGUAAGGACAUGUGGAGCGCUUAGAAGUGAGAAUGCCGGUGUGAGUAGCGAAAGACGGGUGAGAAUCCCGUCCACCGAUUGACUAAGGUUUCCAGAGGAAGGCUCGUCCGCUCUGGGUUAGUCGGGUCCUAAGCUGAGGCCGACAGGCGUAGGCGAUGGAUAACAGGUUGAUAUUCCUGUACCACCUAUAAUCGUUUUAAUCGAUGGGGGGACGCAGUAGGAUAGGCGAAGCGUGCGAUUGGAUUGCACGUCUAAGCAGUAAGGCUGAGUAUUAGGCAAAUCCGGUACUCGUUAAGGCUGAGCUGUGAUGGGGAGAAGACAUUGUGUCUUCGAGUCGUUGAUUUCACACUGCCGAGAAAAGCCUCUAGAUAGAAAAUAGGUGCCCGUACCGCAAACCGACACAGGUAGUCAAGAUGAGAAUUCUAAGGUGAGCGAGCGAACUCUCGUUAAGGAACUCGGCAAAAUGACCCCGUAACUUCGGGAGAAGGGGUGCUCUUUAGGGUUAACGCCCAGAAGAGCCGCAGUGAAUAGGCCCAAGCGACUGUUUAUCAAAAACACAGGUCUCUGCUAAACCGUAAGGUGAUGUAUAGGGGCUGACGCCUGCCCGGUGCUGGAAGGUUAAGAGGAGUGGUUAGCUUCUGCGAAGCUACGAAUCGAAGCCCCAGUAAACGGCGGCCGUAACUAUAACGGUCCUAAGGUAGCGAAAUUCCUUGUCGGGUAAGUUCCGACCCGCACGAAAGGCGUAACGAUUUGGGCACUGUCUCAACGAGAGACUCGGUGAAAUCAUAGUACCUGUGAAGAUGCAGGUUACCCGCGACAGGACGGAAAGACCCCGUGGAGCUUUACUGUAGCCUGAUAUUGAAAUUCGGCACAGCUUGUACAGGAUAGGUAGGAGCCUUUGAAACGUGAGCGCUAGCUUACGUGGAGGCGCUGGUGGGAUACUACCCUAGCUGUGUUGGCUUUCUAACCCGCACCACUUAUCGUGGUGGGAGACAGUGUCAGGCGGGCAGUUUGACUGGGGCGGUCGCCUCCUAAAAGGUAACGGAGGCGCUCAAAGGUUCCCUCAGAAUGGUUGGAAAUCAUUCAUAGAGUGUAAAGGCAUAAGGGAGCUUGACUGCGAGACCUACAAGUCGAGCAGGGUCGAAAGACGGACUUAGUGAUCCGGUGGUUCCGCAUGGAAGGGCCAUCGCUCAACGGAUAAAAGCUACCCCGGGGAUAACAGGCUUAUCUCCCCCAAGAGUUCACAUCGACGGGGAGGUUUGGCACCUCGAUGUCGGCUCAUCGCAUCCUGGGGCUGUAGUCGGUCCCAAGGGUUGGGCUGUUCGCCCAUUAAAGCGGUACGCGAGCUGGGUUCAGAACGUCGUGAGACAGUUCGGUCCCUAUCCGUCGUGGGCGUAGGAAAUUUGAGAGGAGCUGUCCUUAGUACGAGAGGACCGGGAUGGACAUACCUCUGGUGUACCAGUUGUCGUGCCAACGGCAUAGCUGGGUAGCUAUGUGUGGACGGGAUAAGUGCUGAAAGCAUCUAAGCAUGAAGCCCCCCUCAAGAUGAGAUUUCCCAACUUCGGUUAUAAGAUCCCUCAAAGAUGAUGAGGUUAAUAGGUUCGAGGUGGAAGCAUGGUGACAUGUGGAGCUGACGAAUACUAAUCGAUC